CAUCUGUGUCCCGGAGUCCCAGGCCCUUUUCGAUGGCGGCAGUGGCCGGGGGUCCCCUGUAAGCAGGGAAGCUGACUCUUUGGCUGCUGCUUUUUGUGUGCCCAGCCCCAUUUGCCCAGUCUGCCCGCCUCUGUGAUCCCCCGCAGCACUGGCUGGAAGUCCGCCGCGUGUCAGUGAGGAGCUGCUGCAGAAGGAAGAAGAAGAAGCAGCGUGGGGACCUGGGAGGCAGGAGCAAGCAAGAAGAGGAAGCGGAAGCGUGCAGAUGCGGGGGGGAAGGAGAGAGGCUCCCUGGGCAAAGCACCUGUCCCGUUAGCAGGGGCACAGUCACGUUUGAGUUGAGAGCUGCCGGCGCCUUUGGUGACCAGGCUGGCGUUGUGCUGGGCGACCUCCCCGUAAGCGGGGCUCGGGUCUUUGCUGUAGUUGGCCUUUUGCCUUGCUGCUCCUUUGGCUGCCUGGGGAGCGUGGCCCCCUGUAACGGAGGGCGAGAGCCACCUCUCCGCACCUGAGUGGGAAAUGGAGCUCGCCGGACCCCGAGGCCACCCUGUAAGCAGGGUAGUGCCGUUUCCCUGCCCCUCUUCCUCCCCCGGCCCCUCGGCAUCGUUGCCUGAUGGUGGCUUGUCAAUGCGACGGCCCCGUACUCGGGGUGUGCGUCACGGCAUUUGGCCGUUGGCUUUACCUGAGAAGCCCCUUGGCACGUUGAGGUCUGUGGCCUCCGUGCAGCCUAGGGACAGGUCACAGGCUCUUGUCUGUUGCCCGUGGUUGUGGGUUUAUUCCCAGGUGUUGGCUGUGCUGCGUUGUCCUUCCCUUCUGGAAAGUCGUGCCUGUGUGUGCGUGUUCCCCUUCCUUUCCUUGAUUGUGUUUGUGGAGUGGUUGAGCGGCUGUGCUUUCCCUUUAGGCCUCCACAAAGAUGGCUGCAGCUUAGCUUUGACUUCCCAGGGGGGAAUGGAGGACUUUGGUGCAUGCCGCAAAAGGGGUGUUCCCUCUUAGUCCUGCGAGCGCAGCGAGUGUCCUGUCUUCCUACUAUUUUCCUUAGUGCAGAUCAGAGCCACACGGUAGUUCUGUGGCCAAGGCCUCCCUGUAGCCAGGGCUUGGGCCUGUCCUUGCGUGGCCGCCUGUCCUGCUGGCGGCGGUGACAGCCCCGUACUCGGGGUGUGUGUCCCAAGCUUCGGAGCCCUCUGUCCCUGAGCAGCCCGCCCGCCCUGUAAUCAGGUGUGGGGAGGCUGCAGCGUUGCAGCCGGCUGCUUUAGCCAUCCAGCUGGUGGGAGUGACCCCUCCCUGUCCCGUCAGAGGGUGCAGGUUGAGGUGCUGUUUGUGUGUGGGGUGACCUCCCCGCUCGGUGGGUCGAGGUAGCUCCCUGGGCUUCCAAAGACGAGACGUUGGUGAUGUUCUGGUGCUGCCGGGCGGGCCAGCCUGUAACUCAGGCGUUGGCGGGAGCCUCGUGCUCCGCGGGGCUUCUUGAAGAGGGUGAGGUGUGGGGGUACCGUCCUGUAGGCAGGGCUGUGUGUGCCCCCCGUGUGUGCUUGGUGAGCUGCGUUCUGAGAGACCCCCUGUACUCAGGUGGGAAUGUGGCCCCGGCCUUUCAGAGGCGCGGGGCCGUGAGAUGCGGGGUGGGGCUUGCGCCCUCCCUGGAAUCGGGGCUGGGAUCCCGACUGCGGCCUUUGGCCGUGCCGCCCCGCUGCCUGGCUGCUGAGAGUUGCUCCUGCCGCUGGGGGGGAAACCGAGCUCUGUGGCUCCAGGGGUGUUGUCCACCCGCCUGUAAUCAGGGUCUGGGUGCGUGAGCGUUUGUGCUCUGCUGGCAGCCUGUGUGGGGUGACCGCCCCGCUAGCGGGGUGUGGGUCGAGGUGCCCCGGACUGGGAGAGAAGGAGCCUCCCUCGGCCGUAGGGAUGGGGGCUGCCCUGUAAGUCAGGGAGCAUCUGUGUCCCGGAGUCCCAGGCCCUUUUCGAUGGCGGCAGUGGCCGGGGGUCCCCUGUAAGCAGGGAAGCUGACUCUUUGGCUGCUGCUUUUUGUGUGCCCAGCCCCAUUUGCCCAGUCUGCCCGCCUCUGUGAUCCCCCGCAGCACUGGC
rnacentral:lncRNA from 1 species